AGAGUUUGAUCCUGGCUCAGGACGAACGCUGGCGGCGUGCCUAACACAUGCAAGUCGAACGGAACUGUUUUGAAAGAUUUCUUCGGAAUGAAUUUGAUUUAGUUUAGUGGCGGACGGGUGAGUAACGCGUGAGUAACCUGCCUUCAAGAGGGGGAUAACAUUCUGAAAAGGAUGCUAAUACCGCAUGACAUAUCGGAACCACAUGGUUUUGAUAUCAAAGAUUUUAUCGCUUGAAGAUGGACUCGCGUCCGAUUAGUUAGUUGGUGAGGUAACGGCUCACCAAGACCGCGAUCGGUAGCCGGACUGAGAGGUUGAACGGCCACAUUGGGACUGAGACACGGCCCAGACUCCUACGGGAGGCAGCAGUGGGGGAUAUUGCGCAAUGGGGGCAACCCUGACGCAGCAACGCCGCGUGAAGGAUGAAGGUUUUCGGAUUGUAAACUUCUUUUAUUAAGGACGAAAAAUGACGGUACUUAAUGAAUAAGCUCCGGCUAACUACGUGCCAGCAGCCGCGGUAAUACGUAGGGAGCAAGCGUUGUCCGGAUUUACUGGGUGUAAAGGGUGCGUAGGCGGCUUUGCAAGUCAGAUGUGAAAUCUAUGGGCUCAACCCAUAAACUGCAUUUGAAACUGUAGAGCUUGAGUGAAGUAGAGGCAGGCGGAAUUCCCCGUGUAGCGGUGAAAUGCGUAGAGAUGGGGAGGAACACCAGUGGCGAAGGCGGCCUGCUGGGCUUUAACUGACGCUGAGGCACGAAAGCGUGGGUAGCAAACAGGAUUAGAUACCCUGGUAGUCCACGC
rnacentral:rRNA from 1 species